CAAGUAACUUAAUGGUUAAUCAUCUACCUAUCAGUAGGUUGCUCAGAUGCUUUAAUUCCCCCUUAAGGGUUAAGAAAGUUAACCACAUGAGGGAAGACACCAUGUCCCUUGUGUCAAGCCCAGGACAUGUGAUAGAACAAAGGGUGUG